UUACUUGAACAAUUUUACUACUUGUGGGUUCUGUGACUUGAGCCUCUUUCUUCCCUGUCAGGUGUUCAUCCACUGCAGUACAGAAGUGUGCCAUCCAUCAUCUGGCUCUUGUGAGCAAAGCUGCGCCAGGAAAAGAAGAGACACUCAUAUCAAGACUGUCUCUGGUGAGCAGACUGUGGCUUCUAGUGGAGAAGUUACUCUGGUCAUGUAAAUCUAGUGUUUUUAAUAAACUUUACAGAACCCCGAGGUAUCUUUGUCUGGUGUGGUUCUGCAGAAUCCGGCAUUACAUGCCUCUUCCCAGGUUUUAUCCCACACUAAUACAAAAGGUUGUGCAACCUGGUUUAAGGUCAUGCAUUCGGAGUCCAGGCUUCUGUACAAGCUGUGACAUUUAUCCAUCUAGUUUCUAACCUGGGGCAGCACAAUGCUUGAUUUUAAGGGUUAAUCGGUAACUUGUUAACACUGGGGUGUCCAACUCAAUUGCUGGAGGGCCGGAGCUCUGCAGAGUUCCAACAAGCAUGCAAUGCAGUUUUCAAAUAAGCCUGACAGACUUAACUGGAUCAGGUGUGUAAUUGGGGUUGAAUCUAAACUCUGCAGGGCUCCGGCCCUCCAGGAAGUGAGUUUGACACCCCUGGCUUAACAGGACAUUUAUAUAACCUUUAUUUAAGCAAAGUCCCAUUGAGACACUGUCUCUUUUACAAGGGAGUCCUGUAUAACACGUUCAAUCAUAAGUUGCAAGACAAAUUACAAUAUAAAAUACAAAGCAAAUUUACAGAAUACUUGCAUGUGAAGAUGCAAUGACUUUAAAUUAUGUAAACAAACAAAAUAGGGGCUAGAAGUCAAUAUCCACCCACCAUUAAUUAAAACGGUUACACAUGUCUGUCCGCAUAUCAGAUUUUCUUUUUUUUUUUUUUUUAAGCAGCUAAGGAAAUUAGCACACCAAUCUUAAAUCUAGACUGGAGUUCAUUCCAGGAGAAAGGACCAUAGUAAGACAGAACCCUCUUUCCUGCUUCUGUCCUCAUUCUUGGUACCUUAAAGUAGUACAUCACUAGAUCUUAAUUGAUAUGUACUUUGGGUAUGAACAAAUUUUAAGCAAAUAUAAGAUGGCAAGAUACCUAAAAUCAUUUUAUAAAUAAAAUGUGCCAAUGUCGCAUCCUGUGAGAUUUAAGUGAUGGCCAAUUUACCAUAUUGUAUAAGAUGCAAUUGUGUCUGAUAGCCAGCAUUUGUAAUGAACCUGAGAGCCGCAUGAUAAAGAGGGUCUAGUAUUGACAGAGUAGAUGGACAAGCAAAUUGAUAGAUGAUAUCCCCAUAAUCUAUCUGAGACAGGAAUAGUCCUGCAACCAGUCUUUUUCUUAUAGUCCUAAAAAAGCAAGAUUUUAAUCUAUAUAAGAAUGCCAGAGUAAAUUUAAGUUUCAUAGCAGGAAUUUCAAUGUGUUUUUUAAAGGUAAAACCUUUAUCAAGCCAAAUACCCAAAUACUUGUAUCAAGUUCAAUAGCUUCAUCUUGGAGUGUCAUAAUAGCAAGAACUGGGACUUUAGUACCUAUGGGGGCAAAUACCAUUGCCUUCAUCUUUUUUGCAUUUAAAAGUAGCUUUUAAAUCAAACAAGGCGGAUUAUAAUGAGGCGAAAUCUGACUGCAAAUUUGCACUGGCAGUCUCAGGUGUAGAGGCACACAAAUACAUAAUUGUCAUCAGCAUACAAAUGAUACUGUGAGUAUUUAAAUUCACUACAAACAUUAUUUAUAUAGAUGAUAAAAAGCAAAGGACCUAAAACUGAUCCUUGUGGGACACACUUUUUUAGGACGACAGGGUCAGAUGUUACAUUCCCAUGUCUUACAAUUUGCAUCAGUUCAGAGAGAUAGCUGUGAAACCAAUUUACAGCUCUAUGACCAACACCAAUAUUCAACAGGGUUUUGAUUAACAUGAAGUGGUCCACUGUGUCAAAUGCCUUUGUAAGGUCAAUGAACACAGCCAUACAGAAUAACUUUUUAUCAAUUGCCGCUUUUAUAUCAUCAAUAACUUUUAAGCAGGCAGAAACUGUGCUGUGACUAGAUCUAAAACCAGAUUGCAUGUUAUUAAGAAUAUUUUGUGAAACCAGAAAAGUUUUUAAUUGAUCAGACACUAAAAUCUCCAAAAACUUAGCUAAAACCGAGAGAUUUUAGAUAGGUCUAUAAUUAUUUGCAUCACAUGGAUCCCCAGAUUUUAGUAAUGGUGUGACGUAAGCCUGCUUCCACGAAAUAGGCACUGUAUCUGUGCAAACGGACAGGUUUAAGAUAUAAGUGAGUGGUUUCACUAUAAUUUCUG
ensembl:lncRNA